GGAUGUGCUAAGAACAGUGCAGGUGUGGGACCUGUCACCAGCAGGCCAUGAACUGACAGUGCCAAGGGGCUGCAGGCGGAACAGAGAGGGGCUGCACCUGACUCCACACCAUGCAGUGCUGCGACAGGUGAGAUCACAUGGGCACCACCUGGGUUUGGGGACAAGAGGACCCAGAAGCCCCCGCUCACCUCCGCUCCUCCUCUGCACAGCACAGCCACCUGGUGGUGCCAUCUCCCACCUGUGUGGUGUCUAUGAGCACUGACAUCUCUGUGACACUUCACCAUGUCCCGACAAAAUGGAAGGACGCUCAGCCCAGCUCUCCGUGGCCUCCAGUACUGAGCAUUGUUUUGAAAACAGCACCAUCUCAGCUCUUUUGGCGUCGAAGUUCCUCUCUAUCCGCAGCUCUUGUCAGCACCUUCUGUUUAUGUCCAUGAUUGGUUUAUUACCAAUUUGAGCAGGAGAUCACAACAUUUUUAACAGCCUGCACUCUGCUCUUGAAAAAUCCCAGGGGUGAUGGACUCGAAGUUCAAGGAGACACGUGACUAAAGAAGGGAACUGUCUCAGUUACUUUUCUCUUGUUGCUGAGACAGAAUACCUGAGUUAAAUUUUACCAAAGUUAAAGGAGGAGAAGUUUAUUUGGCUCACAGUUUGUAGAGGUUCCAGUCCGUAAUCAGCUGGCUCCAAGGCAGGGUGGCGUGGCAUAGGGGGACCUCAGGGGCAAAACAGUUCAUCGUGUCAGAGGACAGCAAAAGCAAGCGAGCAAGGGCAAGACAAGCCUCUUCUUGUCCCCUAUAUUGUAUCCAGGCUACCGGGACUAGGAUGAUGCUAAACCAAUCAGUGGACUCAUACAGUAAUCACGCACCCUUAAUCCCAGCAUCGCACACUCUAGUUUUAACCACCUCUGAAAAAGCCCCCCUAUGACUGCAUGAGGCUUUGGGUUACAUCUAGACACAAACCAUAAUAAGAAUGGAGAACAAGAGAAUAGAUUUAAGUUUACAGUCACAUGUAAGCUCUAGACUUCGAAUCAUAUCUUUCUGAUGAACAGGUAACUUUUAAUCCAUACCUCAAAAGAUAAAUUUGAGCAGUUACACAAUCUUUCUUUGGUCUAGCACCACAAAAUCCAUGAUUUAAAAAUUUAAACUGGGUGUGGUGGCACACA
rnacentral:lncRNA from 1 species